GCCCAGACCCCUUCCUCUUUGACACGUUGCCCCCCCCCGCCCCGGCACCCCACACACAAGCUUCCUCUUCCCCAUCGCCCUGGGCACUGGGGGAGUUGAGGGCCACUCCGUGUCCUGUCUACGCCAGCCUGGGGCCCCAGCACCCAACUGCCCCCUCUGCCCUCUCCCAGCUGUCUGGCCUCCCCUCCCCCAACCUCGGUUUGGCGCCAUCCUGCUCCCUGGCUGUAUCUGCCCUGGGAUUCAGACCUUGCCGGUGAUCAGAGUAUGGAGUAGGAAGGCCGGCGCUUCCCUGGACACAUAGAAACACCCCCGACCUAAGACCCCCCCCACUUCACCCCCCCCCCCCCCCCCCCCCACAGCAGGCAGCCUCUGUCUCAGGCAGCACUUCCGCAGCCCUGACAUGAAAUGGGCUGGAGGCUCAGCCUCCUGCCACCUCAAAGCCACUUCUUGUUUCCUUGUUGCCUUGUGCCAGCCCUGGGGUUGUGCCCCUUGGCUCCACCCCUAAAGCCUGCCCAGGGCUUCGUCCCAGCAGCUCUGAGGGGACAGGAUGGUGGACAUGAUUGCCAGGCUGACCAGGAGGUGGAGUCAGGCCCUGCGGGGACAGGUAGGGGGCCGUGGCAUUUGGGGGCAAGCUCAGCCUCUGGUGGGGAUGGCCGAGGGCCUCGGGAUCAAGGUGCCACUAGUGGGCCUCUGUUCUCUGGCCCUCUCAGGGGCUGGCUGAGCGGAGCUUCGGAGCAGGACAUCUCAGACUUCGGGGACUCCUCCCUGCUUUCCUCUUCCCUUUGCCAAGGCCUUCGCCUGCCUGGGAGGGGCUGCAGGGGGACCCUGAGAGAUGAGGAGGUAGGCAGAUGAGUGGACAACCCAAGGCGGAAUGCUGCCAGCCCGAACAGAGGGAUGAACAGCAUGUCCGUGCGCCAGACGUCUCUCCUGAGGGAGAAGGCCUCUCCCGGAGGCUUGGAGCAGAGCACCAGCAGAGGAGCAGGAUCUGGGUAGGCAGGUAUGAGAGCAGAGAGUUCCAGGCUGAAGGACCCACUGGAGCAAAGGUGCAGAGAUAGGAGGUGGCUUUGUGUUUGCGGGAGGGUCCAUGGGCCGGUGUGGGUGGAAUAUGGGAUGGCUGCGGUGGACAGAGAGAAAGGAGAAGUGGGGUGGGGGGUUCUGUCUCAGCCACACAAGCGCUUGCAGGGUGAGGGAGAGGAGUGAGGAUCUGGUGUAUCCAGCUCCUCCUGUUCCCUCCAUGCCUGGGACCUGCCCCUGAUGAUCUAUACCUCUACCACUGCUUUUCUGACACUUUGUCUCCUGCUAGCAGUAACUACCACGGACAACGUGCUGUGCUGUGCAUUUCACUUCUCACCCUGCUCAUCUCCCUCCCUGCUCCCUGACCAUUUACACAGGCUGCCCAGUAGGGAUGUGGGUCCCUUUGUUCACUGCUGCGAUCCCCAGUGCCUAGAACAGUGCGUGCACCGGACAGGUGAAUCUUUGUGGGACAAACGAGUGUGUUUUUAGGCGCCUUCCUAAGGCCCAGGGAGAUGCCACCUUGACAUGACCGGCUUCCCCUCUUGGGAAGUUUACAGCUUAGUGAAGGCAUCACAGGCAGUUCUGUGAUUAAAAAAGGCGGGGCGGGGGGGGAGGGUGAUUGUACAAAAUUUUGAGAAAAGUUUAAAGAAUAAAUAAAUAAAUAAAUACCCCAUCCCCAUAACUAUACUGCCCAGAGGAGAUAACUAUCUCUGUUAGCAUUUUGGAGGGUUUCUAAAAACACAGAUUUGAAACUAUAUACUUGCUCCCCAUGUCGAAGUCUGCAUUUCCCCCGUAGCAUUAGAUCAUCCUAGAAACAGUCUUAAUCUUCUGGUGCUCUUCCGCUGCCUGGGGUUUAAGAGUGUCCUUAUCUAUCCCUCUGGCCAGCUGAGGGUGCUGGGCGAUGGUGGGCACGCCAGAGGAAUCUCAGGAAAGGUCUUGACCCUGACACCUGAGCCGAGUCCUGAAGAAGGAAUUGGAGUGGGCCAGGUGAAAAAAGGGGUGGGGAUGGGCCUAGGCACUCUGAAGGAUCCAGGCCCAUAAAAGAUAUACAGCAGGGAGGGUGGAGCCUCCAGCAGCCCCAGGCUACUAGAGCAUAAAGUUCAAGGCAGGGGGCCAGGAAUGGCAGGAAAUAAAGUAGACAGAGAGGCGACAGGCCCCUCCGGUGCCCUGUUAAAGGCGUAGACUUUGCCCCGCAGGCCGCAAGGAGCAGUGGGGUGUUGAGCAUGACCAGAGGUAUGUUGUGUGUGGCCGGACCCUCCAGCCCACCUCGCUUUCCUUUGGAGGGCACGAGGGGCUCCUCUUUCCUAGCUCCUCCUUCCUUCCUCCCAUCUGGCUUGCCUCUCUCCCUUCUCUGCAGUUGAUCCUGAGGUCUGCAAAAACCACAUUCAGGAAGUUUCAGUCCCAGAUCAGAGGUGGUACGGAUUCCAGUCCCAGAGAUUUCAGGGACAGGAAGGAAGGAGGGGUGGGGGCUGUAGAGUGCAGCAGGGCCCUGCCCCUCUGUGAC
rnacentral:lncRNA from 1 species